UGAAGUAGCUCAAAAGAUAUAACUAAAAGUAUGGGCAGUCCUGGAGAAAGCCUUUGAUAUGAUUGGUAGAUGUGAAAAUUUAGAGGUGGAGACACAAAGGUCUUUGGGAUUUUUUAAUCUUUUAAAAACUCUUUCCCCAGAAAGUUGAAUCUGGCUGAUCACUUCUUAUGAGCAGCCUGGACACCAAUUCGAUCCUGGAACUCAGCCUGGAGGAACUCACUCAUACAGCUUCCUUGAGAUGGUCUCCUGUCCCAAGACAUCAGAGAGGAGCAGAACUAUGAACUAUGUGAAAUCCCAGGAGGAAGGCUUCUACUAGAAUAACUUUGGAAGUAUGGAUAAAGCACUCUACGGGAGAGUUAGAAAGUUCUGGGUUUGAGUCCCACUUAAAACAUUUCUUAGUUAAGUAACUCUGGGUAAGUCAAUUGGCUCUUUGAACCUCAUUUUCCUCCACUUAGGGUUGUCCUAAGGAUCAAAAAAGAUGAUACACAGGAGGCAAAAUAUAAUGAAGUGUAUUCAACCAAUAUGAAUGUCAACUAUAUUAACUACAGGACAGGUAGGUGAAUAGAGUAUUGCAUCUAAAGUUAAGAAGAUUCAUUUUCUUGAAUUAAAUUCUGACUUCACACACUAGUUGUAUGAUCCUGGGUAUGUCACAACCCCUUUGCCCCAAUUUCUUCAUCUAUAUAAUGAGAUAGAGAAGGAAAAGGCAAACUGUUUGCCAAAGAAACUGACAUUGGGGUCAGAACAAUUUGAAUACAAUUGAAAUGCCUGAACAGCAAAAAUAAUUCAUACCAAGGGGUUGGGUGAAUAAUGAAAAAUUUUAUAAAGAUGUCAAACAUUAAAGGAUUGGAUGAAAAUUUAACAAGCCAAAAAUACUAGGGAGAACAGAUUAGGUGAAGUGGUCUAGACAAGCAAGAGUAUGGAGGUGAAGAGUAUAGAAUCACUCUGGUGAACCUAUGGCACAUGUACUAGAAGGGGUUUCUCCCUUUCCCCUCUCCACAAGCACCUAAGGACAUUUCUCACAUCACCUGCCAAUCUACCCAGCAGCCCAACAGGAGUGCUUCCUCCCUCUCCUGUCUGUGGUAAGGCAUGGGACUCACAAGUGGCAUGAGGGUUACAGUCUAAAAGAUUUUCCAUCUCUGACAUAUUUGAGGGGAAAUGCAAAAUGUCUACAUUUUGAAAGAAAGUACUAGAAAAUAAUUAGAAAUAAGAUUGGAAAGAUAGAGUGGAUGGAUAGACUCUGAAUGCCAGACAAAGGAGAUGACAUUUAGAUGAGAUUUUCUAUUUUGAUUAUCAGAUUAUUUUCACUUCUAGGGUCUCUAAGAUACCAGUCCAUAGUCCUUGAAUAGGAAUAAAAGAUUAGAGAUAGGAGGAUCCCA
rnacentral:lncRNA from 1 species